GUGCUCGCUUCAGCAGCACAUACACUAAAAUUGGAACGAUACAUAGAAGAUUAGCACGGUCCCCCGCGCAAAAAUGACACGCAAAUUCCUGAAGUGUUCCAUAUUUAA